rnacentral:rRNA from 1 species
UUAAGUUAGAAAGGGCGCACGGUGGAUGCCUUGACACUAGGAGUCGAUGAAGGACGGGACUAACGCCGAUAUGCUUCGGGGAGCUGUAAGUAAGCUUUGAUCCGAAGAUUUCCGAAUGGGGAAACCCACCAUACGUAAUGGUAUGGUAUCCUUAUCUGAAUACAUAGGGUAAGGAAGACAGACCCAGGGAACUGAAACAUCUAAGUACCUGGAGGAAGAGAAAGCAAAUGCGAUUUCCUGAGUAGCGGCGAGCGAAACGGAACAUAGCCCAAACCAAGAGGCUUGCCUCUUGGGGUUGUAGGACAUUCUAUACGGAGUUACAAAGGAACGAGGUAGACGAAGCGACCUGGAAAGGUCCGUCGUAGAGGGUAACAACCCCGUAGUCGAAACUUCGUUCUCUCUUGAAUGUAUCCUGAGUACGGCGGAACACGUGAAAUUCCGUCGGAAUCUGGGAGGACCAUCUCCCAAGGCUAAAUACUCCCUAGUGAUCGAUAGUGAACCAGUACCGUGAGGGAAAGGUGAAAAGCACCCCGGAAGGGGAGUGAAAGAGAUCCUGAAACCGUGUGCCUACAAAUAGUCAGAGCCCGUUAACGGGUGAUGGCGUGCCUUUUGUAGAAUGAACCGGCGAGUUACGAUCCCGUGCGAGGUUAAGCUGAAGAGGCGGAGCCGCAGCGAAAGCGAGUCUGAAUAGGGCGUUUAGUACGUGGUCGUAGACCCGAAACCAGGUGAUCUACCCAUGUCCAGGGUGAAGUUCAGGUAACACUGAAUGGAGGCCCGAACCCACGCACGUUGAAAAGUGCGGGGAUGAGGUGUGGGUAGCGGAGAAAUUCCAAUCGAACCUGGAGAUAGCUGGUUCUCCCCGAAAUAGCUUUAGGGCUAGCCUUAAGUGUAAGAGUCUUGGAGGUAGAGCACUGAUUGGACUAGGGGUCCUCAUCGGAUUACCGAAUUCAGUCAAACUCCGAAUGCCAAUGACUUAUCCUUAGGAGUCAGACUGCGAGUGAUAAGAUCCGUAGUCAAAAGGGAAACAGCCCAGACCGCCAGCUAAGGUCCCAAAGUGUGUAUUAAGUGGAAAAGGAUGUGGAGUUGCUUAGACAACUAGGAUGUUGGCUUAGAAGCAGCCACCAUUUAAAGAGUGCGUAAUAGCUCACUAGUCGAGUGACUCUGCGCCGAAAAUGUACCGGGGCUAAAUACACCACCGAAGCUGCGGAUUGAUACCGAAUGGUAUCAGUGGUAGGGGAGCGUUCUAAGGACAGUGAAGUCAGACCGGAAGGACUGGUGGAGUGCUUAGAAGUGAGAAUGCCGGUAUGAGUAGCGAAAGACGGGUGAGAAUCCCGUCCACCGAAUGCCUAAGGUUUCCUGAGGAAGGCUCGUCCGCUCAGGGUUAGUCAGGACCUAAGCCGAGGCCGACAGGCGUAGGCGAUGGACAACAGGUUGAUAUUCCUGUACCACCUCUUUAUCGUUUGAGCAAUGGAGGGACGCAGAAGGAUAGAAGAAGCGUGCGAUUGGUUGUGCACGUCCAAGCAGUUAGGCUGAUAAGUAGGCAAAUCCGCUUAUCGUAAAGGCUGAGCUGUGAUGGGGAAGCUCCUUAUGGAGCGAAGUCUUUGAUUCCCCGCUGCCAAGAAAAGCUUCUAGCGAGAUAAAAGGUGCCUGUACCGCAAACCGACACAGGUAGGCGAGGAGAGAAUCCUAAGGUGUGCGAGAGAACUCUGGUUAAGGAACUCGGCAAAAUGACCCCGUAACUUCGGGAGAAGGGGUGCUUUCUUAACGGAAAGCCGCAGUGAAUAGGCCCAAGCGACUGUUUAGCAAAAACACAGCUCUCUGCGAAGCCGUAAGGCGAAGUAUAGGGGGUGACACCUGCCCGGUGCUGGAAGGUUAAGGAGAGGGGUUAGCGUAAGCGAAGCUCUGAACUGAAGCCCCAGUAAACGGCGGCCGUAACUAUAACGGUCCUAAGGUAGCGAAAUUCCUUGUCGGGUAAGUUCCGACCCGCACGAAAGGUGUAACGAUUUGGGCACUGUCUCAACCAGAGACUCGGUGAAAUUAUAGUACCUGUGAAGAUGCAGGUUACCCGCGACAGGACGGAAAGACCCCGUGGAGCUUUACUGUAGCCUGAUAUUGAAUUUUGGUACAGUUUGUACAGGAUAGGCGGGAGCCUUUGAAACCGGAGCGCUAGCUUCGGUGGAGGCGCUGGUGGGAUACCGCCCUGACUGUAUUGAAAUUCUAACCUACGGGUCUUAUCGACCCGGGAGACAGUGUCAGGUGGGCAGUUUGACUGGGGCGGUCGCCUCCUAAAGUGUAACGGAGGCGCCCAAAGGUUCCCUCAGAAUGGUUGGAAAUCAUUCGUAGAGUGCAAAGGCAUAAGGGAGCUUGACUGCGAGACCUACAAGUCGAGCAGGGACGAAAGUCGGGCUUAGUGAUCCGGUGGUUCCGCAUGGAAGGGCCAUCGCUCAACGGAUAAAAGCUACCCCGGGGAUAACAGGCUUAUCUCCCCAAGAGUCCACAUCGACGGGGAGGUUUGGCACCUCGAUGUCGGCUCAUCGCAUCCUGGGGCUGUAGUCGGUCCCAAGGGUUGGGCUGUUCGCCCAUUAAAGCGGUACGCGAGCUGGGUUCAGAACGUCGUGAGACAGUUCGGUCCCUAUCCGUCGUGGGCGUAGGAAAUUUGAGAGGAGCUGUCCUUAGUACGAGAGGACCGGGAUGGACGCACCGCUGGUGUACCAGUUGUUCUGCCAAGGGCAUAGCUGGGUAGCUAUGUGCGGAAGGGAUAAGUGCUGAAAGCAUCUAAGCAUGAAGCCCCCUCAAGAUGAGAUUUCCCAUAGCGUAAGCUAGUAAGAUCCCUGAAAGAUGAUCAGGUUGAUAGGUUCGAGGUGGAAGCAUGGUGACAUGUGGAGCUGACGAAUACUAAUAGAUCGAGGACUUAACCAU